GUCAGCGUCUGGAAAGUAAGGUCGCUUGCUUUGUUUGGAACAAAGAUCAGGUCGUUGUUCUGACCGUCGCCGUUCAUAUCGGUAGCGCUGAUG
rnacentral:tRNA from 1 species